rnacentral:rRNA from 1 species
GACGAACGCUGGCGGCGUGCUUAACACAUGCAAGUCGAACGCUGAAGCUCAGCUUUUUUUGGGUGGAUGAGUGGCGAACGGGUGAGUAACACGUGAGUAACCUGCCUCCUUCUUUGGGAUAACGCCCGGAAACGGGUGCUAAUACUGGAUAUUCACUGUUCUUCUCAUGGGGGUUGGUGGAAAGGGAUUUUCUGGUGGGGGAUGGGCUCGCGGCCUAUCAGCUUGUUGGUGGGGUGAUGGCCUACCAAGGCUUUGACGGGUCGCAGGCCUGAGAGGGUGACCGGUCACAUUGGGACUGAGAUCCGGCCCAGACUGAUACGGGAGGCAGACGUGGGGAAUAUUGAACAAUGGGCGAAAGUCUGAUGCAGCGACGACGCGUGCGGGAUGGAGCCCUUCGGGUUGUGAACCUCUUUGGAUCAUGGUAAAGCCGCACCAAUGGUUGUGGUGAGGGUAGUGGGUAAAGAAGCGCCGGCUAACUACGUG